AUCUUUGCGCAGUGGCAAUAUCAUAGCCUAUGAGGUUUAACUGAGGCGUGAUUAUUGCUAGUUGAAAACUUUACCCAAUUCCUUGCCCUGAAGGCUUGAAAUACAGCUUUCUGUGGCAAUUUUUGACAGUCUCUCCGGAGA